rnacentral:rRNA from 1 species
GACGAACCACACAAACGUUAUUCGGAAUUACUGGGCUUAAAGGGUGCGUAGGCGGCGCGGAAAGUUGGGUGUGAAAUCCCUCGGCUCAACCGAGGAACUGCGCCCAAAACUGCCGUGCUUGAGGGAGAUAGAGGUGAGCGGAACUUAGGGUGGAGCGGUGAAAUGCGUUGAUAUCAUCUGGAAUACCGGAGGCGAAGGCGGCUCACUGGGGCUUUUCUGACGCUGAGGAACGAAAGCCAGGGUAGCGAACGGG